CAGCUAUUCAGGGACCCUUUUGGAUAUGACGCGCUGUGGCUCCGGGUGAGCGGGGCGCCAGGGGUAAUUUGCUGGGGGUAAGGGGCCAGGGCAUAUUUAAGUCCAAAUACCCUUGAAAUAUCAAAAGACACCUGAUAUCGCAACAUUUCUGUGUAUUUACUGCUGCCAAAAUUUUAGUAAAAUGUAUUUGGAGGUGCAUAUCAGACAUACAAUAGAGGGCCACAUUAGUUUUGCUGUACAGUUCAGUGGGUCCAUUAAUUGUACACAAGUAUGCGAACAGCUUAGUCACAUUUUUAAAUUAAGUAAGACAGAGCACAUUGAUUACAAAUCAUUUUGUUUUUAUAGGACACUCUUACAUAUACGUAUCUGAUUUGUAAAACGAAGGAUCCCUUGCAUGUCUGUCUCUAUUAAAUUCAUUAUGUUCUUGACGUGCCACAAUUAUUAAUGCAUUAAUAGCUUUGUUGACUGUCAACAGGUACAAGCCAUCUCAUCAGUAGUUUCCACUGUCAUUCUCUCAGGCAGAGCUACUCAAAUGAAAGUGAAGGUAGAUGCUAACACACUUUCAUACAUAGCAUGAGAAAAGCACAAUUUCAUUCAGUGAGUUAAACAGUGUGAAACAGCAAAUGCAGUGGUAUGUUUGAUGUAGAGGAGUAGUCUAAUAGUAAUACAUGUAAUGAAUUUGGGAAAUACAGUAUAAUGUAUAUUUUAUGGUUUGCUUCACUGGAAACUAUAAUUGAAUUUCUAAUUUUUUAAAUAAACACAGAGUGAAUUACUUCAAAAUGAUAUAUUAUUGCUUCCUUACCACACACCAGGUCAUUGGGUUAUUGCGGUAAGAUGUUGUGUAUUGUACUAUAAUUUCCCUUGUUGCGGGCCUUCAGUGAGUUCAGUGCAUGCAAAGGAAAGAGGAAUGUGAAUGUUAUAAAAAAUUGCUACUGUCACUUUACAUUGUUCAUGUAUCCUGGAAGAAUACAUUCUGUAAAGAAUUGAUUGAUUUCACAAUAUGCUUAUAUCUUGUGUGUUACUGAGACAUUACAAACGACAAUAUGUUAGUUGCAUAAUGAUUGUUGAUAAAUCAGUAUAAAGUUUUUGAAAAAAUCUCAUUACCAAUAAAAUUUGUGAAUAUAUUGAAACUUACAGAUAGCUUGAUGAAAAAAAAGGAAUUGUUAAUAAUUGACCCCUUGUGUGAUGACAUCAGAUAUGAAAGAACAUGCCUGAGGAAUUGGAGGUGAUUUAUUAGAUACUUACUUUUACAUUGGACAUUAACUGUUCCAUUGAAAUUUUUUUUAAAGGGAAUGUAACAAUAGUGAGACUAAUAUCUUCCUGUUAGCUACAAGUAAACAUUGAAACAGCAUGUACUUCUACUGAAUAUGCUUAAUAAUGGACUUUGAGUGAACUUGUGUGAUUUGACUCUGGGGAAAGACUUCACAGAAUGUGGACACAAAACAGUAGCAUGUUGCAUGUUUGAGAAUGUGUUAUUAUCAACAUGGGGCACAGCAAAUCAGGUGAUACAUUGUGUAAGUGUGAGACAAUAAUAUGAAAACAAGUGUGUAUAUAUAUGAGCAAUAAGUCAUUUCAAUAACUAAUUAAAAAGAGAGAGAAUGGAUUUUUAUCUAUGUCCAGAAACCAGAGGGGGGAAAAAAGGAAAGCAAAGCUCAUUUAUGCAGUCUGCUAAUGUACUCUCUAAAAAUUUCAGAAACUUCAUCAAAUGAUUAACUAGUAAAUCCUCAUCUGAUUGGAACAGUAAAAUUGUUCAGCAUCCCAGACAAAGUGAUGGCCACAACUGCGGACCACUCAUCUUAAAGUUAUUGAAUACCAAAUUGCCAUUAAUAUUGGUUAUGUAUGUUUACUUAUCCAUGUUGAAAGUAAAUGCCAGAGAUUACCAGUGGGCACUGCACUGGUGUCCUUGCCAGGGUGUACGGGGUGCGCUUCUGGCCCCAAGAAGGGAUAGGGUCUCCAGUGGAAGGUGCGGUGCUGGGGGACCAGAUUCUACCAGCCAGCCCUUCCUGACAGCUGCUGCUGCAGUGGCCAGGAGCACCAGGCGCUUGUAAGUCAGCCAUGUACGGGCUGGAACCAGUUGCCAGUUCUUACCGGUACACUGGACCGGCCCACUUUCACCUCUGGUAAUUAUAAUGUGUAUUCUAAAUAUCUGUGUUGUUAGUUUACAGAAACGUAUUUGCAGCACAAAGACAUCAGUGCGGUAGAAACAACACAAGAGGCUAAUACUGCGUUUAGAAGACAUAUAGCAAUUCUUCUAAUGAAGGAGUCAGCGUGGAGGACUACUGCAUAUACUGCAACUUUAUAAACUGUGAAAAAGAAAUUGAGGAUUGCACGAUGGUAAGAAACAUAGGAUUGAAUGAGAAAUAUAUGCCAUAAACUGGCUAAGGAUCAUAAUUCCUGUAAAAAUUCCACAACAAUAAUCAUUUUCUUCAUGCUGAUAGUCAUAUAUUAGGUAACGCUCCCAUGUGGACGGAAUAGCAUGAGUGAAUGCAAAGUAUGUGUAACAUUAUAACUUCUGUGAUUUCAUUUCUUAAUUGUUACUUAUCAAAGGUCCAGUGUGAUUCUUGCAAGACGUGGGCACAUAUACCCUGCAUUGCAGAAGGAACCAAUCAAGAAAACCUGACAGAUGAGAAGAAAGAGUACAACUGCAAGAAAUGUGCAUAGUUCACUUCAUUACCCCC